rnacentral:rRNA from 1 species
CAGUAGCCACGGGAACACGUAGGGGGCAAGCGUUAUCCGGAAUUACUGGGUGUAAAGGGAGCGUAGACGGUUAAACAAGUCUGAAGUGAAAUGCCGGGGCUCAACCCCGGAGCUGCUUUGGGAACUGUAGAACUGGAGUGUCGGAGGGGUAAGCGGAAUUCCCAGUGUAGCGGUGAAAUGCGUAGAUAUUGGGAGGAACACCGGCGGCGAAGGCGGCUUACUGGACGACAACUGACGUUGAGGCUCGAAGGCGUGGGUAGCAAACAGGAUUAGAUACCCCAGUAGUCCCUGUCUCUUAUAC